rnacentral:rRNA from 1 species
GAGUUUGAUCAUGGCUCAGGACGAACGCUGGCGGCGUGCUUAACACAUGCAAGUCGAGCGGAAAGGCCCUUUCGGGGGUACUCGAGCGGCGAACGGGUGAGUAACACGUGAGUAACCUGCCCCAGUCUUUGGGAUAACCCUCGGAAACGAGGGCUAAUACCGGAUAUGACAUUCCACCGCAUGGUGUGGGUGUGGAAAGUUUUUCGGUCUGGGAUGGGCUCGCGGCCUAUCAGCUUGUUGGUGGGGUGAUGGCCUACCAAGGCGACGACGGGUAGCCGGCCUGAGAGGGCGACCGGCCACACUGGGACUGAGACACGGUCCAGACUCCUACGGGAGGCAGCAGUGGGGAAUAUUGGACAAUGGGCGCAAGCCUGAUCCAGCCAUGCCGCGUGUGUGAAGAAGGCCUCGGUUGUAAGC